UACGGGGGGGGCAAGCGUUGUUCGGAAUUACUGGGCGUAAAGGGCUCGUAGGCGGCCAACUAAGUCGGACGUGAAAUCCCCAGGCUCAACCUGGGAACUGCGUCCGAUACUGGAUGGCUUGAAUCCGGGAGAGGGAUGCAGAAUUCCAGGUGUAGCGGUGAAAUGCGUAGAUAUCUGGAGGAACACCGGUGGCGAAGGCGGCAUCCUGGACCAAUUCUGACGCUGAGGAGCGAAAGCCAGGGGAGCAAACGGG
rnacentral:rRNA from 1 species